AAUUGACGGGGGCCCGCACAAGCGGUGGAGCAUGUGGUUUAAUUCGAUGCAACGCGAAGAACCUUACCUACUCUUGACAUCCAGAGAACUUUCCAGAGAUGGAUUGGUGCCUUCGGGAACUCUGAGACAGGUGCUGCAUGGCUGUCGUCAGCUCGUGUUGUGAAAUGUUGGGUUAAGUCCCGCAACGAGCGCAACCCUUAUCCUUUGUUGCCAGCGGUUCGGCCGGGAACUCAAAGGAGACUGCCAGUGAUAAACUGGAGGAAGGUGGGGAUGACGUCAAGUCAUCAUGGCCCUUACGAGUAGGGCUACACACGUGCUACAAUGGCAUAUACAAAGAGAAGCGACCUCGCGAGAGCAAGCGGACCUCAUAAAGUAUGUCGUAGUCCGGAUUGGAGUCUGCAACUCGACUCCAUGAAGUCGGAAUCGCUAGUAAUCGUAGAUCAGAAUGCUACGGUGAAUACGUUCCCGGGCCUUGUACACACCGCCCGUCACACCAUGGGAGUGGGUUGCAAAAGAAGUAGGUAGCUUAACCUUCGGGAGGGCGCUUACCACUUUGUGAU
rnacentral:rRNA from 1 species